rnacentral:rRNA from 1 species
AAAGAAAGUAAGCAAGGGCGCAUGGCGGAUGCCUUGGCUCUCGGAGGCGAUGAAGGACGUGAUAAGCUGCGAUAAGCUUCGGGUAGGUGCAAAUAACCUUUGAUCCGAAGAUUUCCGAAUGGGACAACCCGGCAUUCUGAAGGAAUGUCAUCCAUCCUGGAUGGAAGCUAACGCAGGGAACUGAAACAUCUUAGUACCUGCAGGAAAAGAAAAUAAUAAUGAUUC